AUCUAUCUGACGGGUCCCAAAUAGGACGAAACGCGUAUCGAACUGGAU
rnacentral:hammerhead_ribozyme from 1 species